GAAAAGUCUCUGGACCUUUGUUCUGCUACUUUCUAAUGCGUGACUUUGGGUAAAUUACUGAAUUUCUUUGGACUUGGUUCUUCGUCUGUAACAUAGAGACGACCCUGUGGGAGGCGACUGUCUGCUAUGGCGGAACCCCGGGACACCCCUUCCUCGGGGAGCCUUUCCUUUCUCCUCUGGUGGCGAGGCUGAUGCCUCCUCCCUGACUUGGUGAGGACCGAGUGAAGUGGGAUAUGUGCUGUGCCUUGGAAACCGUCAAAUACCACCUAAAGUCUAGUGUCUUCAGUGAACUUCAGCCCCAUCCUGUGGCCUCCAGUUGUGUGAUACUAUCAGAUGGCCCCUUGCUGCUGGAGUGGAUGUUCUUGGCAAUGAAAAGAAGAAGUGGGGGCAAAGGUGAAGUAUGGGGCCUAGAUGCUUCUAGCAGUUUAGAUGAUGACUUCUCAGGAACUUGUUGUUAACUGCUCUGCACCCCCUGCGUUGAUUAGAUUCUGGUUCUCUGGGGCCAGUUUCUUCAUGCUGUCUGGAGCCCCAGCUUCGCACCUGGCUGACUCACCUUUUGCACUGAGUUCAGCACUGGAGAUGGAGAGGGGGUGGGGAGGAGAGGAGAAAUUUUAGUGCUGUAUGAAUUCAGUUGGAAAAAUAAUCAUACAGGAUUUAAGCAAAUCUCAUAUUGCCCCUGGAAUGGUUUUAGGUUUUUUUAUAAAACCCAACCAGCGUCAGCUGAUGCCCCAUCUCUUCAAGGUCAAACAUUCCAAGAUUCUAGAGCAAAGCUGUGUUCCCAGAUUUGUCUAGAAGCCCUUUCUCCCCCCUCACCUUAACUGACGCCUGGAUGGUCCCCAUGAGGGAUUUCUUUUGCAGCCUCUCCCAAGCCUCCCAUUUGGAGAGUGGGGCUGCCCAGUUCCUUCUCUCCUGGUGUCACUUUGAGAUUACUGCUCAGAGGAACUUAUUCUUUUCUCAAGAGACUGUUUUCUUUUAAAGUUCACAAUGUUCAUUUUUUUCUUUGUUUGCUGCAAGGAGAACUCUGAUUCUGACUGAAAUUCUGCCAAUUAGAAAGAUUGUUUUCCAAUCGUCUUGAAAUUUUUCAGAGUUGCUCAAAGUGUUGGGAAAAUUGGAUGCCAGAAUUUGUAGAUCCCUGGCCAACCAAGAGACAUGGGCAGAAGGUGACCUGGUCUUCAGAGCUCUCACAAGAUCUCUGAGAGAGACUGGUAUGACAGUCCUUGGGGACCUUCCCCCUUUAUAAAUGCUGUGUUCAUUUUUUAAUAAGAUAUUUGACAUAUAUAAAAAUAAAAUAUAAUGUAUGUAAGGUGAAAAAAAUACUCCUGGACCACUCGCCCAACUUGAGAAAUAGAACGUUGCUGGAAUGAUGAAGCAGCCGCGGGCGCUCGCUGCUGGUUGUCCCCUCACCAAGAGGAACAUGUGUGUCUGUUGUUCUCUUGCCUGUCAUUGCAGUUUGAAAACGUGUUUAGUAAAAUGAAUAUAUUUGAUAAUUUUGUGUGCAUUUGAACUUUAUGUGAAUAGUAUCACACAGGGUAAUUUUUUGUGCCUUCUGUUUUUCAGGUUCAUCUGAAUUGAUGCCUUUAGCCAUAGUUAAUUCAUUUUUGCUGCUGAAUAGUAUUCCGUUAUAUGACUAUGCCACACUUUUUUUACCAUCCCCUGCCUGUGUGCAUUUGGCUAUUUCCCAUUAUGCUAUUGAUAGUAAUGCUGCUGUAAAUAUUCUUGGCCAUGUUUCCUGGGCACGUGGACGAGAUUUUCUCCUGGGUCACAGUAUUUCCUUUUACCAUUUUCUCUAUAUUCUCAUCUUCUCUGCUAGGAUUCUCUCCUUCUUCAGUGAUGUCAUUUCUGGUUAUUGUCCUCAGAGACUCUGCUGCACACACCGAUGGUAUAAACGUAAACAAGCCACAGUGCCUUUCUUUGGUCCGCUCCAGGGUGGCGGAAUAACUGAUCACAGCAGUCACGUUGUGACCCACUUGAAACCCCAGCGCUGGAUUCUUGGAGACGACUAUCUCGCCUCUGCCUUUCCCUGAAGAACUUUGCUGCUUUUACCAACAUCUCUCAUCAUUUGACUUCUGCCCCAGCCUCUGUGGAAGAUGCCCUCUCAGAGCUCACCAGUGACCUCCCAAGGAUCAAGGCUGAAGGCUGUGUCAUUGUCCUUCCUCACCUGGCUGCACCCCUGCCGUCUGAAACUCCUUCUUUGGUUUGCACAGCAUGCCACUGCCCCGAUCGUCCUCCCGACCCGUUCCUCGUCUGCCUUAUACUUCUUGUCUGUGUACGUUCCUUAGGUUCUACCUCGGAGAAAUCAUCCAUUCCUUCCAUUUUAGCCAAGACACAACCAUCUAACCCAGGAAAUUAACAUUAGUACCAUUUAACUCUCAGACCCUGUUUGAAUUUUACUUAUUGUCUGAGUAACGUCUUUUACAGCAACAGGACCUAACCUAGGAUCAGUCAUGUCUCAGUCUCCUUCAGUCUGGAUUUGUUCCUCAGUCUUUCCUUGACUUCAUGAUCUUGAUGGUUUUGAAGACACAAGUCCAAUUAUUUUGUCAAAUGUCCCUCAGUUUUGGUUUACUGAUGUUUCCUCAUUAGAUUUAAGUUAUACAUCUUUGCUAGGAGUAUUCCAGAGGUGAUGCUGCUACAUCCUCAUUAGAUUUAAGUUAUACGUCUUUGCUAGGAGUAUUCCAGAAGUGAUGCUGCAUUCCUUUCAUUGCACUACUAAAAGGCGUAGGAUUCAAAUGUAUCCCAUUACUGAUGACAUUAAUUUUGAUCGCUGGAUUAAGAUUGUAUCUCUCAGCCUUUUCCACUGUGAAAUUACUUCUCUCCUCUUUGUAGGUAAUGAAGUAAUUAAUGAAUAUAUAUGGGAAGCUGCUUUGAGACUCUGUAAAUAUCCUGUUAAUCAUCAAACUUUCAAUUUACUCUUUAUUUAUGUCAGUAUGAACUCAUGAAUUGCUAUUUAUUCAAUGGAUUUUAAUCUAUUGUUAUUUAUUAUCAUCGUUUAUUUUGGUACUGAAUUGUCAAGCUGGCUUUAGAGUCCUUUUGACAUGUUCUGUCGUUCUUUGAAAACUGCCUUAUUUUCUGGCACAAAAAGUUGUUUCAGGCUCACCUUUUACUUUUUCUAUUCGGUCUUAGAAUUAGCCAUUUUUUUUUAAGGAAUGCGGUAUUCUUUUAGUGAAAAAUGGUAUUUAGAACCCAAAAUCUGGGUUCUUGAUGAGUUUACUGCUGUUGGGGUGUUAUUGCUCCCACCCUCUCUCAGAGGGAAGAGCUAGGGAAUACACACAUUUACAUCUCUAUUUCUCUCUAUAUUGAUAACUAUGAGUUCACAUUUAUAUCUCUAAUUCAAAUCCAUAGGGUUUACUCUAGUUUUCUCCCUUUCCAUUUUCGUAACUGUGAUGGUUAAUUUUAUGUGUCAGUCUGACUGGGCUACGGGGCCCCCAGAUACUUGGUUAAACAUUAUACCGGUGUGUCUGUGAGGGUGUUUCUGGAUGAGAUAAACAUUUGAAUUAAGUUUAGUAAAGCUGAUUGCCCUCCCCAGUGUGUGUGGGCCUCAUCCAACCCACUGAAGUCCUGAAUAGAACAAAAAGGCUGAGUAAGAACGAAUUCACUCUCUGCCUGACUGUCUUCGAGCUGGGACAUUGGUCUUCACCUGCCUUCGGACUUGGACUUGGACUUGGACUCAGGCUGACAGGUACACCAUUAGCUCUCCUAGUUCUCAGGCCUUUGGACUGGAGCUACACCAUUGGCUCUUCUGGGUCUCCAGUUUGCCAACAGCAGAUCUGGGGACUUCUCAGCCUCCAUAACCACGUGAGCCAAUUCCUUAUGAUAUAUCUCUUUAUAUCUGUAUUAUCUGUAUCUACAUCCACAUCUACAUCUAUAUCUAUAUUUACUUCUCCUGUUGGUUCUGUUUCUCUGGUGAAUCUAGACUAAUACAGCAUCCCAGUGAAAAGCCUGGGUUCUAUAAUUUUCAAUAUAUUUACCUGUUUGAUCAAUUGUCCUUUAUGUUAAUGAAUUCCCCUCAUUGCCACCACUCAACUCCUCCUUCAUGGAGAUCAUCCUUACCUCUCUGAGGCUCUGACAACGUGUGCUGUGUUGCCCUUUUGUACAGAUGGUCUCUUUGCCUAAGUUGGGCUCUGAGACCCCUCGGAGGGCCCAGGUCACCCUCUUAUGCUGACACCUGACACCCCUGGCUCAGGUUACUGUUCCUUCUCCCAUAGUGUGAAUGCCUACCUUCUCAACUCCACCAAUAGCUUUAGGACUGAAUUGUUCAGGAAGGAAAGGAAAGGGAAAGAAGAGAAGGGGAGGGGAGAGAAAUGGUAGUGAAGAGAAAGAAGAAGAGGAACAGGAAGAGGGACAUAAUUUUUCUUUCAAAAUCUAGUUCCUUCCUUCCAACUAUUUGCCAUUGGCACUGAUGCAUCCUACAGGCACUUUAAAAUCUACAUACCUAAAACUGCUCAUGUUUCCUUUCCGGUAAAACCUUUCUCUCUUCACUCUCCUAUGCUGCUGAUGGGAGUAUAAAUAGUUUAUUCUUUCUGGAGGACACUUUGGCAAUAUGGUUCAAAAGCCUUAAAAAAAAAAUCCUACGUUUCUUUUGACCUUGAAUUAUACUUUUAGGAAUUUAUACUAAAGAAAUAAUUAAAGAUGUACAGAGACAUUCAGAUUUAAGGAUGUUAAUUAUAGCUAAAAUUGGAAUUAUACAGAAUGUUUUGCAUCAGGGAGCAGAUAAAUUGGGAUAAACCCAUAAGUUAGGAUUCUAUGUCAUCAGUACAAUAAUGCUGAAUUACAAUCAUUGAUAUGGAAAGAUGUUCACUAUAUGAUAUUAAGUGAAAAAAACUGAUAAAAUGGAAUUAUCCCAAUUUAUUAUUAAAAUAUUAGAAAUAUAUAUGUAUAGGAGAAAAAACUUAGGAUGGUAUAUCAGAAGGGAAUUUUAAUAUUGAGAUUAUGGACUUUUUUUCACUCAAUAUUUUUAGUCUUUUCUUCACCAAAUACUUUUAUUUAUACAAAAAUCAAAAGCUAUGAAAAGAAAACUACAUAGGUCUUUGUGCUGAAUUUGCCAUUUCUGUAAAUGGUACAGCUGUUCUUGAAGUCUUCAGACUCUGAAUCAUCGCUGAUGUCUCCAUCUUAUCAGUCACAGAGUCCUCUAGAUACUCUUUUCACAAUAUUUCUUGGGGUGCCCCUUCCUUCUAUUUGCCUGCCACCGCUCCAGCUCAGACCUUGUCGUGUCAUACCUGGGCCAUUUCACAGGCUGCAUUGACGGAGCUCUCUACUCUACCCUGAUCCAGGCAGCCAGAUGAGUUUCCCUGAGGCAGUUCUUUCAUCACAUUGCUCCCUGCGCAGAAAUCUCUGGUGGUUCUUCUCUGCAUCUCCAAUAAAGGCUGGAUGCCUUAGCUCAGGCUUCCAUAACCUGGUCCCACCCAGUGUUGCAGUAAUCAUACUCAAACUCUAUGCUCCAGCAACAUUUUCCAGCUUUACUUUCUAUGAACAUAUAUUGCAUUUUCCUGCCUCUGUGGUUUGCUCAACUACUGGUCAUUCUGGAAUCACCUUUUCCCUCUACUUUUACUUCUGCUCAUUCUUUAGUGCCCGACUUAAAUGUCACCUCUUCUAUGGUCUCUCUCCCCAGGGGCCCCAUUGGAUGUAAUUUUCUCAUCUCUGAACAGUCUAGCAUUUUGUGUCACUCCCAUUUUAUACACCAUAUUCAGCACUCUAUUCUUUCUUCAGUUGGGCAAACUUUCUUCCCCUUGGGUAUAGUCAGUCCAUUCUAGAAUUUGAGCCUUCUUCCUUGGAAUUCCUUAUGCUUGGCUCAACCUUCCUAUCCAUUUUUAUGCCCCACUCUAUGUUACAGAAAACCCUAAAUUGAGAUCAUAAGACUUAGACUUGAUCUUCUUAAUCUUCUUCCUUGAAAUUGUCUGCUUCUCAAUUCACUAAAACAUGGUUUCUGCCCCUCUAAAUGCUAUCAAAAUUGACUGGCGAAGGUCAUCAUGAACCCCAUUUGCUAAAUCUAAUAAACUCAUGUGUGAGAGGGAGUGCAGUGCAGGAGGGCUGACUGACGCUGCAGCUGGAUGGACUAGGACUGGAGCCCAACUUCCCCUUUUACUGUCUCUAUCUUGUACGAGUUACCUGACUUCUUCAAGGACUAGUUUCCUCAUCUUUGAAGUGAGGAGGAAUAAUAGUGCCUUCUUACAAAGAUUGUUGUAAAAAUUAAAUGAGAUGAUGUUCAUAGAGUGUUUGCACAGUGUUGGACACCACGAAGUGCUCUGUAAAUAUUAGCUGCUGUAGUUAUUGCACCAUAAAGUCUAGGACCAUUGCACUGGCUCUGCCUACCCUUCUUCACCCUCAAUUCUUGUUGAAGCCCUUCCUUCCUGCCCAUCCCAUAUACUUUAUGCUUCAGUUAUGGAAGACUGCAUAUAGGCUCCCAAACACACUCACUCUGGCCCUUCUCUGAGUUUUUGUGCUUGCUCUUUCUUAGACCAAGAAUCUCCUUUACCCAUUCCUUAUUUGCCCAGUAGACUCCUAUUCAUCUUUUGAAACCUAAUUCAUAUGUCACCUUCUAGUAAAGCCCGCCCUCCUUUUCCCCAGUCAAGGAAUUUACUUUCUCCUCUAUGUAAUCUUUGUACCUUGCAUGUGUUUCCAUUGGUGCUCUUACCACAUUGCACUAUAACUUCUGUGUUUACACUGACAUCCCCCAGCUGUAAACUCCUUGACUCUGUUCUCUUUUCGGUUCCUACCACAGCGUGUGGCACAUACUAGACACUCAGCAAGAUUUGCUGAAUGAAGUGGAAGGAGGCAAAGCUGGGAAACGGCAGAGGCAGGACUCGAAGUCAGGACUUCUUACUCCUAGUCCCGUGUGCUCUCACUGACCUUCCCCCAAAGCCGCAAGCACAUUGAGUCAGUUGUGCAGGUUGUCAUCUACUGUCUCGUGGCCGUGGACUGACCCUGAGAGUGAGAUUUAUUGCCUGGUAUUAGAAAAGCUUUAGAUUCCAGCUCCUCUCAAAGGAGUUGUGCAAAGAAGGGACUAAAGGACGUCAGAAAACAGUGGGCAUGUGGAAGACUCUGAGGCUGAAGGCAGGAAUCUUCCAAGACCCCAUCAAAAGCAAAAUGAAAACUCUUUUUAAAAGCUCAGUAAAAAGAGAAAGACACUUAAAAAAUUGAUAUUAACGUGAUCUCCAGGCUGUGUUUAUUGAAACAAUCUUAGGUCCAUAAUCAAAACAAUGUUUUGUCAUUUCCCCUCCAGGCUGGUCACAAGCUACAAACUGGAUCAUUUGACACAUCUCUCGUGCACUUGAAACUCAAAUUGAAACUCUGCCAUUUUAACUGUACAAAGAAAAAUAACUUUUCAAAGCCCCACAUAUAUAUUUUUCUGAUUCAUCCUUUUGAUAUUUUACUUGGACCAAAACCCAAAUUCACUUGGUUUUCUCCAAGCACAUAUUUGGGCUACUUCCAUCAUUGUUCUUGGAAAUGGUUUUUCCUUUUGACAUACUGUAUGUUCAGUAUACAACCUGGUCAACACCAUCACAGGCCACAGCACUGACUCCCUCGUGGGCUGUCAGGAGCAUCUCAAAAAGAUUAUGUCUCCACUUAGGCUCAUCAGCUGCUUGUUUUGCAAUGUUCAGGAAAACACGUGUGUGUGUGUUUAUGUGUUUAUGUCAGCGUGAGUUUUGUGUCUGCUGGGGGAAAUGCUGGGUUAGCAUGUUUUUCAGAGUUUGAAGAAUUUCUGUGGCUUAUUUGCUGA
ensembl:lncRNA